AUUUAGGUAGUGCCUCGCGUUUGACUGCUGGGGGUAGAGCACUGUGUCGGCUAGGGGGUCAUCCCGACUUACCAACCCGAUGCAAACUCCGAAUACCAGUAAGUAUUAUCGCGGGAGACAGACAGCGGGUGCUAACGUCCGUUGUCGAGAGGGCAACAACCCAGACCACCAGCUAAGGUCCCUAAUAUCAGUUAAGUGGGAAACGAUGUGGGAAGGCUAAGACAGCUAGGAGGUUGGCUUAGAAGCAGCCACCCUUUAAAGAAAGCGUAAUAGCUCACUAGUCGAGUCGGCCUGCGCGGAAGAUGUAACGGGGCUAAGCAAUAUACCGAAGCUGCGGAUGUGCAUUUAUUUGUACAUGGUAGGGGAGCGUUGUGUAAGUGGUUGAAGGUGAGCUGUGAGGCUUGCUGGACAUAUCACAAGUGCGAAUGCUGACAUGAGUAACGAUAAUGGGGGUGAAAAACCCCCACGCCGGAAGACCAAGGUUUCCUGUCCCAUGCUAAUCAGGGCAGGGUAAGUCGGCCCCUAAGGCGAGGCAGAAAUGCGUAGUCGAUGGGAAACGGAUUAAUAUUUCCGUACUUGGUAUAUCAGUGAAGGGGGGACGGAGAAGGCUAAGCAAGCUUGGUGUUGGUUAUCCAAGUGAAAGUGUGUAGGGCGUUGAAUUAGGUAAAUCCGGUUCAACACUAACCUGAGACACGAGACGAGUUUCUAAGGAAACGAAGUUGUUGAUGCCAUGCUUCCAGGAAAAGCCUCUAAACUUAUGAUAUAUCGAACCGUACCCCAAACCGACACAGGUGGUCAGGUAGAGAAUACCAAGGCGCUUGAGAGAACUUGGGUGAAGGAACUAGGCAAAAUGGUACCGUAACUUCGGGAGAAGGUACGCCG
rnacentral:rRNA from 1 species